UACGUAGGGUGCAAGCGUUAAUCGGAAUUACUGGGCGUAAAGCGCGCGUAGGCGGCCCGGUAAGUCCGCUGUAAAAGUCCAGGGCUCAACCCUGGAAAGCCGGUGGAUACUGUCGGGCUAGAGUCCGGAAGAGGCGAGUGGAAUUCCUGGUGUAGCGGUGGAAUGACGCAGAUAUCAGGAAGAACACCAAUGGCGAAGGCAGCUCUCUGGGACGGUACUGACACUGAGACGCGAAAGCGUGGGGAGCGAACAGG
rnacentral:rRNA from 1 species